GCUGGGUGUGGUGGCACGUGCCUGUAAUCCCAGCUACUCAGGAGGCUGAGGCAGGAGAAUUGCUCGAACCCAGGAGGCAGAGGUUGUAGUGAGCUGAGAUUGAGCCACUGCACUCUAGCCUGGGCAACAGAGCAAGAAUCUGUCUCAA
rnacentral:SRP_RNA from 1 species